rnacentral:lncRNA from 1 species
AUGGAUUUCUUAUCAUGGUGGAGUGGAUUACUGUUUGAUUUUGGGGUAGGCUGUCAACAGCGUGUACUGUGUGACACUAUCUGUUUUCUAAUGAUGUCAACAAUGCGUCUGGCAUAGAAUCAGGAACUAGAAUAGUAAUUUAAGAGGAUCUCUAUGGCGUAUAGACAUAUUUGAUGUCAUGAUUAUGAUGUCUUUAUGCCAUGGGUAAUGUCCAUAUUCACUUCAGUUCAUUGUGUCUGCGGAAGGUUCACAGACGGGUUUUCAACCGAGCUACAUUAUCAGAGACGCAAAGCGGGUGUCUUAACGGCUCACACAUCAUGGCUGACGACAACCAGAUACGGUUAAUUUAAGCCUACAUUUUUAAGUUUAAAAGAGAAAUCAAUAAGUCGAUUUUGAAUUUUCCUAAUUGCAUGUUGUUCAAACGGCAGUUCUUCCUUAAGGACAAAUGUGAUUGAUAUUAGGGCGGAAGUAUGAUUUGAAGUUUCAGCAAGUAAUUCCAACUGGGUAAUUGUUGUGGGAUGUCAGCAUGCAAUAAGCCUACUGCACGUGUAGAAUCAGUGCCAUGAAGGAUGGUGCAGGCCGGCAAGUUGCUACAGUAGCCUAGCAUGGAGUAGCAGAUGUGGAUCAGAUCUGGCUGACUUGUUCGCAGGCUAAAUUUCUCACCAGUCAUCCUCUGUAAUAAUUACCUCCCAGAGAGCAAUUACAAAGAACUAAUAAUGUUUUUAAAAGCACCAUUAUAACUAGCGACAUUACAGUCAGUCACCUCAGGCUGAGAAGGACUCGGUAGAACAGUGUUGGAUUUGUCCAUGUCUUGCUAAAUUAAUCUACCAUAACUGGGGAGACUUUAUACUGCAUUUUUAAAGCUGGAAUCCUUAAUGGUGAAACUACCACGUCCGAUAUUACAACAGCAGAGAAGUUACUGCAAACAACGAACACAGUUUUUUUCUGCUUUUCUGCUUCGUGCAUCAUUGCACGCAAGAUUAAACAUAAGUAUAUCCCACUGGACACGUACGUUAAUUCAACGUCUAUUUCACGUUGGUUCCAGAUAAUUCCCUUUAAAUGACUUGGAAACAACGUUGAUUCAACCAGUGUGUGACCAGUGGGAUGUAAGCCACCACUGCUUCGUCAACGAAAACAUUUCAGGGCCAUGCCGCUGUCUCAGGUGCUGCCCAGAUUCAAAACAUUUCAGGGCCAUGCCGCUGUCUCAGGUGCUGCCCAGAUUCGAAACAUUUCAGGGCCAUGCCGCUGUCCACUAACGCCUACAAACUCAGACAUUGACAGCUCAACAGUGCUGAAAUAGUUCGAGCCCCAGAGAACAUCAAUGAUUUUAAACUAGUUUAAGUGCAAGUGAUUAUAAUUUAUUGCACAUGUUAGUUUUGCUGAUUUGCAGCAUCAGAAUUAUCGCUAAUGGGUUGCAGCGAGUUACGUUUUUGAGCAUUUUUAAAAAUGUAUUUAUUUAUUUCACCUUUAUUUAACCAGGUAGGCAAGUUGAGAACAAGUUCUCAUUUACAACUGCGACCUGGCCAAGAUAAAGCAAAGCAGUUCGACACAUACAACAACACAGAGUUACACAUGGAGUAAAACAAACAUACAGUCAAUAAUACAGUUGAAGAAAAUAUAUAUACAGUGUGUGCAAAUGAGGUAAGAAAAGUGAGGUAAGGCAAUAAAUAGGCCAUGGUGGCGAAGUAAUUACAAUAUACCAAUUAGACACUAGAGUGAUUGACGUGCAGAUGGUGAUGAUGAUGCCUAAGAAGAGGAUGAGGAUGCUUGAUGAACCAUAAAUGACUCGCUAUGAUCUGUUUUCUGAUAUUGUCGACAAAGCGUUUAGACAUUAGACCAUAUAAAUAUAGCAAAUCCAUUGGAUUUAUGCUAUAGAUUUAGGCCUAAUUGUGACAUAAUGUGUAUACGGUAUUUUACGAAUCCCUCUGCUUAAGCCUAUCAGAAACGAGUAUUCAACAAUGUCUUGGUAAAAUUCAAGGAUAACGUCCAUGUCACUUCAGUUGCGUCUGUUGACGUUUCACCCAUGUGCUUUUAAAGGGACUAUCAGUAUUACCUCCAAAUAGCCUGCUACAAUAGGCUACACACCCAUGUCUGACGAUACCACGGUAUGGUUAAUUAUGCAUACUUUGAGUUUCGAGGAGAAAUCACUAUCAUUAUUUUAGGUCACUCACUACCAAAGCAAUACUGUAUGUCUCACUGGUUUGACCCAUGGACAGAAAGUUGACUACCACUGCCGUUUUGAGUAAAAUACCAGCAAAUAAGUUGUUUCAUAAAGUCACAAAAGAAGACUGAUAUUGCCCUCUCAUUUAUCCACCAGAGCAUGAAAUGGGAGUAUACCCCUGACUAUCAAAAGGAAGUUGGGGAGGAUAUGAAGGAUGAAACAGAGACUCAUGAGACCAAAUACAACAGGACAGGAAGCAAGGCUUAACGUAAGUCCAGUGGAGGUGGCAAGAAGAAUUCGGUGAAGGAGGACAGCAGCAUUUGUGCAGGGUCUUCUAAUGCACCCAGGUGUAGUUUCCAGGACAGGGAAUCUAACAUUGAGCAGCUGGAGAAGGAGCCUCAGAGGACUCUAAUGCCUUCUCUCAAUAUUGGGACAAGCUGUGCCCCAGUCCUCCUCCUUCCUGAGUAGUCUAACUAAUGAAACAAAAUGUCUCCUAUACUUAAUGGCUUAAUCAUUGGAUAGUGAUUCAGCAUGGCAUGAAGAAUAACCUGACGUUUGAGCAGCUCUCCAUGAUGUGUCUGAAGAUUGUUAAGGUCGUGACCCAGAUGGCCCUCCGCAUUCUGCUACCAGUGCUGGCUCGUAUCAUGGGGGUGAACCUGAGGAGUGGGACGACCUCCCCAGAAUCCCAGUGCUCUCUGACAGGGUCUAAGGACUCCUUGGACAGUCUGGAUGAGCGGGAGAAAAGGCUGCUGAUCAGUGAGAUGAACUACUGGACCAAGGAAAGGAGGAAUGGCAGGGCAGGGUGCCACGAAAAAUAUGUUGGCAGAACCAAACCACCAUGCUACUCCCCUAAGAGCGUUCCAAGAGAGGAAACAAAAUGACUGCCAUUCAGUCCAGGACCAGACUGAGAUUCCCUCUACUGCAUAGCCCCCCACAUUGGGGAUCAUGGUGCUGAAUCUCCAGUUGGAGAGGUUUCUCGGUUCAUCUCUCAGCCUAUCAACAAGACCCUGAUUAUCGCUCCUUGAUAAUCAGGCUCUUUUCAGCAAUGAUGAAGCCGUUCGAGCGCUCCUCCUGAAAGAACCUGUUACUCUGUAUGAAGAAAUACUUUUGACAAGAGGGAUAUGCAUGUCUACCCUUUAAAGUCUGCUUGAUCAAAUAAAUGCAAACUAUUUUACAA